AAACCCAACAGAGGACACUUCCUUAACAAACCUCUGUAGCGUUCCCAUGCCUCGUACAGUGACUCACUCGAAUUUUGCUCAAAAUUAGAUAUCACCUUCUUGAGUUU